CGGAGGAAAAGAAACUAACAAGGAUUCCCCUAGUAACGGCGAGUGAAGCGGGAAGAGCUCAAAUUUGUAAUCUGGCACCUUCGGUGUCCGAGUUGUAAUCUCGAGAAGUGUUUUCCGCGCCGGACCGCAUACAAGUCUGUUGGAAUACAGCGUCAUAGUGGUGAGAACCCCGUAACUGAUGCGGAUGCCCGGUGCUUUGUGAUACACUUUCGAAGAGUCGAGUUGUUUGGGAAUGCAGCUCAAAUUGGGUGGUAAAUUCCAUCUAAAGCUAAAUAUUGGCGAGAGACCGAUAGCGAACAAGUACCGUGAGGGAAAGAUGAAAAGCACUUUGGAAAGAGAGUUAACAGUACGUGAAAUUGUUGGAAGGGAAACGCUUGAAGUCAGACUUGCUAUUUGGAAUUCAGCCGCAAGGUGUACUUUUCAAUUCGCAGGCCAGCAUCAGUUUUUGGGGGUGGAAAAGGGUAGAGAGAAGGUAGCAAUUUCGGUUGUGUUAUAGCUCUUUGCUGCAUUCAUCCUUGGGGACUGAGGAACGCAGCACGCUUUUUGCAAGGCUUUCGAGCUUUUCGUGCUUAGGA
rnacentral:rRNA from 1 species